rnacentral:rRNA from 1 species
CCUACGGGAGGCAGCAGUCGGGAAUAUUGGACAAUGGGCGCAAGCCUGAUCCAGCAAUACCGCGUGUGUGAAGAAGGCCUGCGGGUUGUAAAGCACUUUCAGUGGGGAAGAUAAUGACGUUACCCACAGAAGAAGCACCGGCUAACUCCGUGCCAGCAGCCGCGGUAAUACGGAGGGUGCAAGCGUUAAUCGGAAUUACUGGGCGUAAAGCGUGCGUAGGCGGUUAUUUAAGUCAGAUGUGAAAUCCCCGGGCUCAACCUGGGAACUGCAUCUGAUACUGGGUAACUAGAGUGUGGGAGAGGAGAGUGGAAUUUCCGGUGUAGCGGUGAAAUGCAUAGAGAUCGGAAGGAACACCAGUGGCGAAGGCGGCUCUCUGGACCAACACUGACGCUGAGGCACGAAAGCGUGGGUAGCAAACAGGAUUAGAUACCCCAGUAGU